GGGACACAUCACAAUGCACCUAAGAAUCUCUAGCUCUUGCAUCUGAGUUCUGAAGGGAGAUUCCCCCAUGGUGAUGUGGAUUCCUUGAUUUAAAUCCCGCCUCCUCAGAGGGAAGUCUGUGGUCAAGACACCCCACAGGACUGCGGCUCUCCAGACAAUCUGAUUUGGAAGAAAUUGAUUUCUCAAAAUGGAUUUGGAAGAGCAAAGAGCCAAGAAUAACUGAGAAGCAAUUUUGAAAAAGUAGAACGUGGAAGAACUUGCCUUACCAGAUAUCAAGAUUUAUUAUCAAAAUAUUUUGUAAUGAAGACAACAGACUUUGGGCAAAAGGAUAAACCUUGGAACCGAACAGAAAGCCUAGCCACUGGCCCACCCAUGUUUGGAAACAAUACCAGGCAGAGAUGACGUUACAAAUCCAUGUGGGAAGGGUGGUCUAUUUAAUAAAUGAGUCCUAGGAACAGCUUUUAUCCAUAUGGAAAAUACGAAAUUAGAUUUCUUACUUUGAUCAACCUUAUGUAGCUUAAAGAACUAAAGACAAAAAGCAGACCUUUUAAGCAUAAGGUGAAAAUACAGAAAAAUUCUUCAAGACCUUAAGAACAAUUUCUCUUCAAGAAAGCAAAUGAACAAAAGAGAGAACAUAAAAAAUCAAUAAUUUUGACUUUAUUGAAAUUAAUUUCUUCAUAACAAAAGGCCAUUAUAACAAAGUGAAAAACAAGCCAUAGCCUGAGAGAAGGCACUUGCAAUGAGUGUAACAUGUAAGGAAAUCUCUCAAAAGAAUUAGAAAGAGAUAAAUAGCACUUGGGAAGAAAUCAGCAAAGAAUAUAAACUACCAAUUUGUAGAAGAGGAAUCCCAGAAGGUCAAUAGAAAUACAAAAAGAUGCUUGCUUCCCCUAUUAAUCAAAGAAAUACAAAUCAAAACAAUAAAAUAUUAUUCACACCUACAAGAUCACCAAAAAUUUAUGUCAGCCAGUGCCAAGUGUUGGCAGAGCUGUUAAAUCAUGGAAACUCACUCCCUGCUAGUGGGAUUUAGACAGACCUGAAGCAAAUAAGGCAAUAUGCUAAUAUUUGCUAAAGCUGAUGUGGCCAUCAUUAGCGCUGCCCACCAACCGAGUAUAUCUGGCUCUCUGCCUUCCAGGCCCAUGGUAGGACUGCAUUUCCCAUCCACUCUGAAGUUAGGGGUGGCCUUGAGACUGACUUUGGCCAAUGAACUGGAGUGGAAGUGACUUCUAUUUCUGGCCUCAUGAACCAGUGCACAAAAAUUUUGUCCAACAUGGCAGCACAGAGUCAAAUCUUCUCACUUCCUUGGUCCCCGAGCAGACACCAUGUCUCCAAGCAGCCCAUGGAGGAUGGGUGGAUUGGUAAGACGAACCUUUGUUGCUCUCAGCCACUGAGAUUUGGGAUGUUUGUUAGCACAGCACAACCAAGUCUUUUCCUGACUGAUACAGCCAGGAAGUUGGUCUACGGGGGUUUCCUGUAUUGUUAGUCUCUGACUUUAUCUACAUAUUGAAAAA